rnacentral:rRNA from 1 species
AAACUAAUUUAGUUUGACGGCAUUUCAUUUAAUUAGAGGAAUUUGUCCUUUAAUCGAUAAUCCACGUUAAAUUUAACUAUAAUCUAAAAUUUAUAUACCGCCAUCUUAAGAAUUAAUUUAAAAAUCUUUCUCUAAAAAAUAAAUAAAAAGUUAGGUCAAGGUAUAAUUAACAUUAAAGAAUGAGAUGAAUUACAUUAAAUACAAUAUAAAGAAAAUUCAUUAAUACAUUUAUAUAAAUAAGAAUUUAAAAGUAAUAUUAAAAUAAUAAUGUAAUAUGAUAUAAACAAUAAAUGUGUACACAUCGCCC